UAACACAUUUGGAAGGCACCAGGUUGCAGAAGGCUGAUCUGCACUGCAGCUAUUGCAUGUUGCUUCGUGAAUCAGAGUCUGUGGUUGUUCAGUAGCUUCAGUUAUGAUUUAAAGUUUAAAAGCAGCCCGUGGGAAAUUACUGUUGUAUACACACACCUGGAUUGUAGUGGCAGCUGCAGGUGAUUUUGAUAUUAGUGGUGCACUCAGUCCCCUGGGAGUUUUAAUCUGAAUUUUAAACAAGCUCUUCUAAGUGCUAUAUCUAUUUUGGGAAUAGGAUUUGAAUAACUCCUCUGAAGUUCUGACUAAAAACUGGCGUGGGAUUUCACUGGCUUGCUGAAAUGCUAGCCACCAUAUUCCAAUGAUUAUUCCACACACUAUUUUUAACCAUUUAAGAACACUGCAAUUGUUUGCUUUAAGUUGUUUUGAUGUUGUUCAUAGUUUAAUUCAUUAAAAAGUUGAACUGUAUUUUUAAACUAUGUUUUAUUAAAGAUGGUGUAAUAAUAAUACACUUUAUUUAUAUUCCACCCUUCUCCUCAAAGGAACUCAGAGCAGAUUACAGUACUGUAUAUAUAAACAGAUAUAGACAAACAUUCAAUGCCUUGCUACAAAACAAUGAGACAUACAUACACAAAGGCAAAGGCUUCUUUCAUUUCCAGCUUCUGGAGGCGAUACUCAUCUCAGGCUCUUGGGGGAGGUGCUCCUCUCCACUUCCAAGCCCAGGAGCCUGCAUUGUCACCUUCUGGUUGUGUGGCUGGCAAGACUGCUUGCGGCGUCUUUUCCCUUUUACCUCCGAAGUGGUACCUAUUAUCUAUUCACAUUUGCAUGUUUUCGAACUGUUAGAUUGGCGGGAGCUAGGGUUGACAGCAGGAGCUCACCCCGUGUUAUGGUUGAGCCUUCUGGCUCCGAUACUAGGAGACGGGGUCGUAAGAUUCCUCGUGAGUCAGACUCUUUUGAGGAGCGUGAAAGGAAACGGCUCCGGGACUUAUUUGCAGAACCAACAGAUGAGGACUCUUUUGAGGGUUUUACCGAGGGAAUGGAGGAAGAAAUGGUCAGCUCGGAGGAGGAUGACAUGGAGUGGACUCGUGUGAGGGAGGAUUUGGGUGUCCCCGGUAAUGAAAGCAUGGGAGGCGAUUGGCGGGUUGCAGGAUCAGACCCAUGGACGGGCUGGAGGGAUGGAGCGGGAUCCACAGCUAGGGAUGCUGUGGGGCGUAGUCAAAGGUGUUUUAGCUCUGAUGAGGAUGAUGAUGAUGAGGCACCUGGGAUUAGGAUGGCAGCUGACAGCGAUGAUGAGUUUGAACUGGGAUAAAAUGGGGUUUAGGAUCAAUGUCUAAUUGCGUUGGGCAAGGUAAUCUGGAUGAACGCUUGGGCUCUUGUUGGGGAACUUCCUGAAGACGGGUGUGAUUCGUUGCUGGAUACCUUGGACCUCCGUCGUCUUUUUGACGGACAUUAAUUACCUACUCUGGAUUGACGCUGGACUGACUGACUUCGACCCCGGAUUAUCCCUUCUGUGGCUAUCGGUGGGACUUGUGGAAUUCUAGACGUCUGCACUUGGCUUUCGACCUCGGACCGGAUUGAGACCCUGCUGACUGCCGUUACCCUGAUUGAUGUGCCUGGACCCGGAUUUCGCUCGUUGCACGGAGGAGUAAACAGCCUGAUUUACUCAUUUGUAGCUUUUGAGUAGCAGAGAGGAAUCUGCUGCCAGUUUAUUGUGUUCAUUCUGACCUCUGUUAAUCCUCUUUUGUUUGCUAAUCUUGCCAGGCUGAAGUAAGCACUUUUGAUUUAAUCCGGAUUAAACUCCUGUUUAAUCCGGUUUAUUCUUUUGAACCGUUUUAGUUCAAACGGAGCUGUUUUUGUUACUUUUCACACUGAAGUCAAGUGUUUGCCUAAUCCUUUGUUUCCUACGGGCAUUUUCAGUUUUGUAACCUCAAUAAACUGAGUUUUACUCUA